UACGUAGGGUGCGAGCGUUAAUCGGAAUUACUGGGCGUAAAGCGUGCGCAGGCGGUUGUGUAAGACAGAUGUGAAAUCCCCGGGCUCAACCAGGGAACUGCAUUUGUGACUGCACGGCUAGAGUGCGGCAGAGGGGGAUGGAAUUCCGCGUGUAGCAGUGAAAUGCGUAGAUAUGCGGAGGAACACCGAUGGCGAAGGCAAUCCCCUGGGCCUGCACUGACGCUCAUGCACGAAAGCGUGGGGAGCAAACAGG
rnacentral:rRNA from 1 species